AACGAACGCUGGCGGCAGGCUUAACACAUGCAAGUCGAACGGGCGUAGCAAUACGUCAGUGGCAGACGGGUGAGUAACACGUGGGAACCUUCCUAGGGGGUACGGAACAACUCAGGGAAACUUGAGCUAAUACCGUAUACGUCCGUGAGGAGAAAGAUUUAUCGCCCUUAGACGGGCCCGCGUCGGAUUAGCUAGUUGGUGGGUAACGGCCUACCAAGGCGACGAUCCGUAGCUGAUCUGAGAGGAUGAUCAGCCACACUGGGACUGAGACACGGCCCAGACUCCUACGGGAGGCAGCAGUGGGGAAUCUUGGACAAUGGGCGCAAGCCUGAUCCAGCCAUGCCGCGUGAGUGAAGAAGGCCUCGGUUGUAAGUACGUACUUUUCGUUCUAGGGUACGGA
rnacentral:rRNA from 1 species